AAUGAACGCUGGCGGCAGGCCUAACACAUGCAAGUCGAACGGAUCCUUCGGGAUUAGUGGCGGACGGGUGAGUAACGCGUGGGAACACACCCUUUGGUACGGAAUAGCCUCGGGAAACUGGGAGUAAUACCGUAUGUGGUCGAGAGACGAAAGAUUUAUCGCCAAAGGAUUGGCCCGCGUUGGAUUAGGUAGUUGGUGGGGUAAUGGCCUACCAAGCCGACGAUCCAUAGCUGGUUUGAGAGGAUGAUCAGCCACACUGGGACUGAGACACGGCCCAGACUCCUACGGGAGGCAGCAGUGGGGAAUCUUAGACAAUGGGGGAAACCCUGACCUAGCCAUGCCGCGUGAUCGAUGAAGGCCUUAGGGUUGUAAAGAUCUUUCAGGUGGGAAGAUAAUGACUGUACCACCAGAAGAAGCCCCGGCUAACUCCGUGCCAGCCGCCGCGGUAA
rnacentral:rRNA from 1 species